GAUGAACGCUGGCGGCGUGCCUAAUACAUGCAAGUCGAGCGAACGGACGAGAAGCUUGCUUCUCUGAUGUUAGCGGCGGACGGGUGAGUAACACGUGGAUAACCUACCUAUAAGACUGGGAUAACUUCGGGAAACCGGAGCUAAUACCGGAUAAUAUUUUGAACCGCAUGGUUCAAAAGUAAAAGACGGUCUUGCUGUCACUUAUAGAUGGAUCCGCGCUGCAUUAGCUAGUUGGUAAGGUAACGGCUUACCAAGGCAACGAUGCAUAGCCGACCUGAGAGGGUGAUCGGCCACACUGGAACUGAGACACGGUCCAGACUCCUACGGGAGGCAGCAGUAGGGAAUCUUCCGCAAUGGGCGAAAGCCUGACGGAGCAACGCCGCGUGAGUGAUGAAGGUCUUCGGAUCGUAAAACUCUGUUAUUAGGGAAGAACAUAUGUGUAAGUAACUGUGCACAUCUUGACGGUACCUAAUCAGAAAGCCACGGCUAACUACGUGCCAGCAGCCGCGGUAAUACGUAGGUGGCAAGCGUUAUCCGGAAUUAUUGGGCGUAAAGCGCGCGUAGGCGGUUUUUUAGUCUGAUGUGAAAGCCCACGGCUCAACCGUGGAGGGUCAUUGGAAACUGGAAAACUUGAGUGCAGAAGAGGAAAGUGGAAUUCCAUGUGUAGCGGUGAAAUGCGCAGAGAUAUGGAGGAACACCAGUGGCGAAGGCGACUUUCUGGUCUGUAACUGACGCUGAUGUGCGAAAGCGUGGGGAUCAAACAGGAUUAGAUACCCUGGUAGUCCACGCCGUAAACGAUGAGUGCUAAGUGUUAGGGGGUUUCCGCCCCUUAGUGCUGCAGCUAACGCAUUAAGCACUCCGCCUGGGGAGUACGACCGCAAGGUUGAAACUCAAAGGAAUUGACGGGGACCCGCACAAGCGGUGGAGCAUGUGGUUUAAUUCGAAGCAACGCGAAGAACCUUACCAAAUCUUGACAUCCUUUGACAACUCUAGAGAUAGAGCCUUCCCCUUCGGGGGACAAAGUGACAGGUGGUGCAUGGUUGUCGUCAGCUCGUGUCGUGAGAUGUUGGGUUAAGUCCCGCAACGAGCGCAACCCUUAAGCUUAGUUGCCAUCAUUAAGUUGGGCACUCUAAGUUGACUGCCGGUGACAAACCGGAGGAAGGUGGGGAUGACGUCAAAUCAUCAUGCCCCUUAUGAUUUGGGCUACACACGUGCUACAAUGGACAAUACAAAGGGCAGCGAAACCGCGAGGUCAAGCAAAUCCCAUAAAGUUGUUCUCAGUUCGGAUUGUAGUCUGCAACUCGACUACAUGAAGCUGGAAUCGCUAGUAAUCGUAGAUCAGCAUGCUACGGUGAAUACGUUCCCGGGUCU
rnacentral:rRNA from 1 species